rnacentral:miRNA from 1 species
UUCUCCUUUCCUUCUCCU